rnacentral:rRNA from 1 species
UACAGAGGUCCCAAGCGUUGUUCGGAUUCACUGGGCGUAAAGGGUGCGUAGGUGGUGGGGUAAGUUUGAUGUGAAAGCUCCGAGCUUAACUCGGAAAUGGCAUUGAAUACUAUCUCGCUUGAGGUUUGGAGGGGGGACUGGAAUUCUCGGUGUAGCAGUGAAAUGCGUAGAUAUCGAGAGGAACACCAGUGGCGAAGGCGAGUCCCUGGACAACACCUGACACUGAGGCACGAAAGCUAGGGGAGCAAACAGG